rnacentral:rRNA from 1 species
UACGGAGGGUCCGAGCGUUAUCCGGAAUCAUUGGGUUUAAAGGGUCCGUAGGCGGGCCGUUAAGUCAGGGGUGAAAGUCUGCGGCUCAACCGUAGAAAUGCCUUUGAUACUGGCGGUCUUGAGUCAUGGUGAAGUUGCCGGAAUAUGUAGUGUAGCGGUGAAAUGCAUAGAUAUUACAUAGAACACCGAUUGCGAAGGCAGGUGGCUAACCAUUGACUGACGCUGAUGGACGAAAGCGUGGGGAGCGAACAGG